AGACGACUCUGCCGCUACUGUCCAUCAACUUUUCUCCUUUUAUAAGAAUUUAUAAGGAUUAUGGGUGGAAAAAAAAAGAAUUGUAGGUCUAAUUGAUGUACAGUAUCUCACAAAAGUGAGUACACCCCUCACAUUUUUAAAAUAUUUGAUUAUAUCUUUUCAUGUGACAACACUGAAGAAAUGACACUUUGCUACAAUGUAAAGUAGUGAGUGGACAGCUUAUGACCCCGUCUCUGUGCCGCCCCCUGCAGGCUCUACCUGGUUCAACAUCCUCCGAGGGUUUUUAGAGGUUUUAGGGGGUGUGGUUGCGGGCGUGGCUCUCGGGUUCUUCCUUCGUUAUUUUCCCAGUGAAGACCAGAAAGGUCUGGUGCUGAAGCGUUCCUUCCUGCUGCUCGGUCUCGGUGUGUUUGCUGUGUUCGGCUCUAACGUGGCCGGAUUAACCGGGUCUGGAGGACUCUGUACGCUCGUCCUCGCGUUCCUCGCUGGAACCGGCUGGGAAAAUAACAAAGUACGAUUCUCUCUCGCAAAAAACCCCAAACACCAGGUCACUUUCUGCACAGCUCUUUCUUUAUGUAAAUAUAUUUUCUGCAUGUAGAUAAUAAAUCGUUUUAUUUUCCUCUUCACUUCUCUUCAUCCUUUUUUCUGCUUCUUUUUCCCUUUUUCUUUUUUAUUUUCUUUCUUUAUUCCAUUUCUUUUUUCCAUCACUGAAUUACUAAUUGUUAACUGAAUUUACUUGUUACUCUUCCAAUUGUUUCUUUUCUUUCUUUUUAAAUUUUCCUCUGCUUUCUCCUUUUUCUUACUUUCCUUUUUGUCCUUUUGCUUUGGUUUCUUGUUAUUGUCUUUUCUUUGUUUGUCCUGCCUUCUCCUUUAUCUUUUCUCUUUAUUGUUCUUUUAAUUUCCUUUCUUUUAAAUUUUUCUUUUGCUUCUGUUUUUCAUUAUGCCUUGCUUUAUUUCUUUUAUUUAUUUUGUUUUCUUUGUGGUUUACUUUUUGCUAUCCUGCCUUGAAUUCUUUUUCUUUCUUUCUUUCUUUCUUUCUUUCUUUCUUUCUUUCUUGUGUGUGUGUGAGUGUGUUUGUGUGUGUGUGUGUGUGUAUGUGUCCUCAGCUCUGGGUCUGGCCACUCUCAGCAUUGCCCUGAGUGUGAGGAUCUUCUUCACCUUCCUCAUGGUGCUCUGCGCUGGAUUUGAUUUGAAAGAGAAGAUCUUCAUCGCUCUGGCCUGGAUGCCUAAAGCCACUGUUCAGGCUGCGAUUGGCUCGACGGCUCUGGACACGGCGCGUGUGAAGCAGGAUGAGGAGUGUCAGCGUUUUGGUAUGGACGUGCUGAGCGUGGCCGUUCUCUCCAUCCUCAUCACUGCUCCACUCGGAGCGCUGCUCAUCGGCCUGUGUGGACCACGCCUACUGAGGAGACCCAAGAACCCCGAGUGGGCUGUAAGUCAGGGUACUCUGUCGCCAUCAGAUGCCCGGGUCACCUACGAGAGUGCAAUCUGAUACUUGUGGAACUUUCCAGAACAGGCAGUCAGAAGAUCAGUACCUCAAACUCUGGCUUUGUGACUCUCCUGUGACUCUUCUACAACUCUACGAUUCUUCUCUAACUCUAUUUUGUCUCCUCUGUGACUCCCCUGUGACUCCUUUAUGACUCCCCUGUGACUCCCCUGUGACUCCUCUGUGACUCUCCUCUGUCUCUCCUCUGUCUCUCCUCUGACUCUCCUCUGUCUCUCCUCUGUCUCUCCUCUGUCUCUCCUCUGACUGUCCUCUGUCUCCUCUAUGACUCUCCUCUGUCUCUCCUCUGUAACUACUUUUUUUUUCUUUUUUUUUGUAAAAGAAUUUUGACCAUAGAAUUUUGCAGGUUUGUUAUGUAUACACAUUGCUCUUGAUUAUUUUAAGACCUUUAUUUUUUAAUUUAUAUUUCUAAAGAGACGACUGAAAGUGGAAAAUAUAGACAAACACAAUUUCUAUUUAAGUCUAACACACUUAACGUUCAUUACACUGUUUUAAAAUGAGACUGAAAUCUGAAAGUGACUUCCUCUAUCCUCUCUGAGAGACCACACGGGUAACACAGACCAAACUCACCCAACUAUUCUAAAGACUUUGCUCGAGCGUGAGACUCUUCUGAUUGUUCAUCUACCUGUCAGGUGAGUUUAUCUUUCCGAAUAUCAAUUAGACAAAUGUUCAGAAGGGCUGUUCGUCAUGAUUGAGAGAUUUUAUGAGACUAGCAGUGUUUGCGUUUCUAUAAGAACACUGUAGAUUUAGUAAUUUUAAAUUAGUGCACAGGUUUAAAAUGACUCUCUAUUAUUAAUCACUUUCACCUUUGUCAUGAAUAACUUUUUUUUAUAGUAAAGCUUAAUAUUUACAGCUGCAGUUUAUUCAGUUGUGUAGGAAAAGUGAAAACUUACAGCACAGCAGGAGAAAAGCCUGAAGAUUCCUGAUUUCUGCUAAAAUAUUUAUCAUUUUCAGAAGCCAUAGAAAGGAUUCCUCCACCAUUUUCCCCGUCGUCCUGAACGUCAGCGUCUCUGAAGAGUUUUGUGCACAGUGCAGUUUGCCAGUUCACUCAUGGAGCUGCUGCUGGGGUAAGAGUCUUUAUUAGGCUCCAGAUCCUCUGUGACUCUGAGAAAGCUCUUACUGAAAGUGAGUGAGGCAGUGCUGCCCCCUGGAGGCUCUAACAUGCUCCGAGGGAUUUCGGAGGUUCUAAAUGCCAUGUGUGGGUGAAUCAAGAUCCAUCCUGAUGCUCUACUUCUGCUUGGAGCUUCUGCCCUCUGAGACUCACUCACUGCUGCUGAGGGUUGGCCCACAUGUGUAGCCUAAAGAUUCUGGAGAUUUAAAGCUUAAAACUCUUCUGUAAUUAAUAAAAGACCCUCAUAAUAAUGACGAUCAUAAUGAAACCAACCAACGAUGACCUCGGACAUCAGAGGCCUGGCUUGCAGCAGUCUGGACGGUUGCUGUGUAGAUCACCUUCAGGACUGGCUGACAGCAAGAUCAACACCGACGUCAUAUAAGGAAUUCAUUUUUAAAUAUAUGUGGAUAGUUUUGACAUGUUCUCUGUUAAGCUCAAGAGAUCUCAAGUUGAGCAGAGCUGAAGUUUUGCAAAAGCUGGGAUUGAAUAUACGUGAGCCUCGAGGAGACGAAGAUGGUGGGGUUUUGGCGGAGGUCAUUUUAAAAGACAAAGGUGCUAUGACACAUGAUUUUCUUUGUGGGAUUUGGUGGCUUUUUUUGCAGUUCUAUUUAAGUGUUGAUGUGAUUGAACAGGGUGUGCAGUAAUCAGGCGUGGUUGCGUCUAGUCCAGCUGAACCCCAUUAUGAACGCAGUUUCAUAGAUUUGGGGAAUUAGUAACUAUGGGGGCAAAUACAUUUUCACACAGGCCCAUUGGCCCCUUGCACAGCAGUGAAAGGUCAUUAAGGUCAUCUGAUCAAGGUUUACUCUCCCUGUCUAGGGCUAGGCUGAAAAUAAAAGGUGAUUGUGCUUUUUCAGCUUAUGCGGUAAAUUAUUAAAGUAAUGUGCUUCUGUAAAGCCUUCCGUUAUAUAUUUAAUGUUCCUGCUCAACUGAGGUGUUCGACAGCAUCUUACAACUCAUGUGUUUACUAUUACUUUUAAUUCUAUUUUACUUUAUUAUUAUUAUUAUUAUUAU